CAAUAGCGUAUAUUAAAGUUGUUGCAGUUAGAACGCUCGUAGUCGGAUUUCGGGGCGGGCCGACCGGUCUGCCGAUGGGUAUGCACUGGCCGGCGCGUCCUUCCUCUCGGAGACCGUUCCUACUCUUAACUGAGCGGGAGCGGGAGACGGGACUUUUACUUUGAAAAAAUCAGAGUGUUUCAAGCAGGCAGCUCGCUCUUGCAUGGAUUAGCAUGGGAUAAUGAAAUAGGACUUUGGUGCUAUUUUGUUGGUUUCGAACACCGAAGUAAUGAUUAACAGGGACAGUCAGGGGCACUCGUAUUCCGCCGAGAGAGGUGAAAUUCUCAGACCAGCGGAAGACGAACUACUGCGAAAGCAUUUGCCAGGGAUGUUUUCACUGA
rnacentral:rRNA from 1 species